rnacentral:rRNA from 1 species
CCUACGGGGUGCAGCAGUGAGGAAUAUUGGUCAAUGGUCGGGAGACUGAACCAGCCAAGCCGCGUGAGGGAGGAAGGUACAGAGUAUCGUAAACCUCUUUUGUCAGGGAACAAGGGCGGGGACGUGUUCCCGGGUGAGUGUACCUGAAGAAAAAGCAUCGGCUAACUCCGUGCCAUCCGCCGCGGUAAUACGGAGGAUGCGAGCGUUGUUCGGAUUUAUUGGGUUUAAAGGUGGCGGAGGGGGUUUGUUAAGUCCAGGGCGAAAGCCAGGGGCACAACCCAGGCCGGGCCGUUGAAACUGGCAGUCUUGAGUUUGAGAGAGGUAUGCGGAAUGCGCGGUGUAGCGGUGAAAUGCAUAGAUAUCGCGCAGAACUCCGAUUGCGAAGGCAGCAUGCCGGCUCCACACUGACGCUGAGGCACGAAAGCGUGGGUAUCGAACAGGAUUAGAUACCCUUGUAGUC